GGGCUGUUCGUAUAGUGGUAAUACAUAGCAUUCGCAUUGCUAGAACGGGGGUCCGAUUCCCCCACAGUCCA
rnacentral:tRNA from 1 species